rnacentral:rRNA from 1 species
UAGAAUUCCACGUGUAGCGGUGAAAUGCGUAGAGAUGUGGAGGAAUACCGGUGGCGAAGGCGGCCUUCUGGACAGAUACUGACGCUGAGAUGCGAAAGCGUGGGGAGCAAACAGGAUUAGAUACCCUGGUAGUCCACGCUGUAAACGAUGUCGAUUUGGAGUUUGUUGCCUAGAGUGAUGGGCUCCGAAGCUAACGCGAUAAAUCGACCGCCUGGGGAGUACGGCCGCAAUGUUUAAAUCUCAAAUGAAUUGACGGGGGCCCGCACAAGCGGUGGAGCAUGUGGUUUAAUUCGAUGCAACGCGAAGAACCUUACCUGGUCUUGACAUCCACAGAAUCUUGCAGAGAUGCGAGAGUGCCUUCGGGAACUGUGAGACAGGUGCUGCAUGGCUGUCGUCAGCUCGUGUUGUGAAAUGUUGGGUUAAGUCCCGCAACGAGCGCAACCCUUAUCCUUUGUUGCCAGCGAUUCGGUCGGGAACUCAAAGGAGACUGCCGUUGAUAAAGCGGAGGAAGGUGGGGACGACGUCAAGUCAUCAUGGCCCUUACGACCAGGGCUACACACGUGCUACAAUGGCGUAUACAAAGGGAGGCGACCUCGCGAGAGCAAGCGGACCUCAUAAAGUACGUCUAAGUCCGGAUUGGAGUCUGCAACUCGACUCCAUGAAGUCGGAAUCGCUAGUAAUCGUGAAUCAGAAUGU